rnacentral:hammerhead_ribozyme from 1 species
GCAAUGCUGAGGAGUCCCAUAAUAGGACGAAACAGUUGUCCAGUAC